rnacentral:rRNA from 1 species
GAGAGAGAGACAUGCGCGCAUAUCAAUAAGCGGAGGAAAAGAAACUAAUAAGGAUUCCCCUAGUAACGGCGAGUGAAGCGGGAAGAGCUCAAAUUUGAAAUCUUAAAGGGUUUCCCUUUACGAAUUGUAGUUUAAAGAAGUGUUUUCUGUUGAGGUUUUGGUAAAAGUUCUUUGGAAUAGGACAUCAUAGAGGGUGAGAAUCCCGUAUUUGACCUUUACUUUCAACUUUGUGAUACACUUUCAAAGAGUCGGAUUGUUUGGGAAUGCAGUCCAAAAUGGGUGGUAAAUUUCAUCUAAAGCUAAAUAUUGGCGAGAGACCGAUAGCGAACAAGUACCGUGAGGGAAAGAUGAAAAGAACUUUGAAAAGAGAGUUAAACAGUACGUGAAAUUGUCAAAAGGGAAGCGUUUGACACCAGUGUUGUUUUUCUGAAAAUCAAUUAAAGAACUGUUUAUGCUAAGCUGUUUAGACUUUAUCAGCUAACUGUUUAGUUUUGAGCUUUUCUUUAAUGCACUUUUCAGUUAACAAGUCAACAUCAAUUUCUUUUGCUGUAAAAAAGCUUGAGGAAGGUGGCUUGAGAUUCGUCUUAAGUGUUUAUAGCCUCUUGCCUAUGCAGUCGGAGAGAUUGAGGUCUGCAGCGUAGAUCCUUCGGGGCUAAAUGCAUUUGUGCUAAGUUAUAGCAUUUUAUAGACAACUUGUUGACUAUGAUUUGUCUUGUAGCUUACUCGCUUAUGUUAUUUUACCUACGCUUAGGAUGUUGACGCAUGAGAUAUACGC